GAUGAACGCUGGCGGCGUGCCUAAUACAUGCAAGUAGAACGCUGAAGGAAGGAGCUUGCUCUUUCCGGAUGAGUUGCGAACGGGUGAGUAACGCGUAGGUAACCUGCCUGGUAGCGGGGGAUAACUAUUGGAAACGAUAGCUAAUACCGCAUAACAGUAGAUGUUGCAUGAUAUCUACUUAAAAGGUGCAAUUGCACCACUACCAGAUGGACCUGCGUUGUAUUAGCUAGUUGGUGAGGUAACGGCUCACCAAGGCGACGAUACAUAGCCGACCUGAGAGGGUGAUCGGCCACACUGGGACUGAGACACGGCCCAGACUCCUACGGGAGGCAGCAGUAGGGAAUCUUCGGCAAUGGACGGAAGUCUGGCCGAGCAACGCCGCGUGAGUGAAGAAGGGUGUCGGAUCGUAAAGCUCUGUUGUAAGAGAAGAACGAGUGUGAGAGUGGAAAGUUCACACUGUGACGGUAUCUUACCAGAAAGGGACGGCUAACUACGUG
rnacentral:rRNA from 1 species